UUUUUUUUUAAAAUAGAGACAGAGUCUUACUUUUUUGUCUAGGCUGGUCUCAAACUCCUGGCCUCAAAUGAUCCUCCCGCCUUGGCCUCCCAAAGCACUAGGACUACAGGCAUGAACCACCAUACCCAGCCCUCAUCUUUGAGAUAAAGAGAUAAGACUAAACCUGAGGUUUUCAGGUUUAAAAACAAACCAAUCGAUAGGUUGAUUAUAGAUAACAGAACAAUUCCUUGAAAUACUGAAAGGUCAAUGUUAAAAAACAAAUAAUCGGGUUACUCUGAUUGGAGAGGAUGGGAGCUGGAGACCUACCCAUCAGCUUCUCAAUCACCACCCACCCUUACUCUAAGGCAGGCAGUAAGGCAGCAGAAUUCCUCAGAACAUGGUUUUAAAUCCUUGGACUACAUGAACUCUCAGGGCUCCUUCUCACUGCUCAUGACCUAUCUAUCUGAGCUCACCUCACUCCCAGCACCCCCAUUCUCCAGUUCCUUCUCCUUCCAACAAACCCACCAACCCCAACCAUCAGCCCUUUGAUAAACUGCUACUUUCUUACCAUGAAGGUGCCUGCCCCUUUCCUUCCAUAUGAGGCUCCUUGAGGAGAAUCCAACAGCCAAGCAGUAUCUGGAAGAGGAAAUCUGGGAUGACAACAUCCCUCUAAAUCCUGUUCUGAGCACAGCCACGAUUUUGCAGGGAUUAUUAUGUCCCCAACCUCUUCCUAGAAUGUCUGGAAGCUGAGAGACAGAGGUGAUAGCUCUCUGGGGCCUCAGCCUCUCCUGGGGAUCUAUCUGCUAUCAAGUUCUGGGCUAUAAAUUCUUCAGGCCCUGCCCUCGAUAAAGCCCUAAAACUGUUGAUCUUUGUGAACAAAAUUAUAGAUGCUUAGAUUCAAAGAAGCUAGGAGUAAACACUUAGGAUCGUAGGAUUAUAUAAUCUUAGUAUGAUGAACUCAGGGUGUUUUCUGUUUUUUGUUUCACUUGUUUGCUUGUUUUUUUUUUGUUUGUUUUUUAGCGACAGGGUCUCUCUCUGUCACCCAAGCUGGAGUGCAGUAGCACAAUCAUAGCUCACUGCAGCCUCGAACCUCUGGGCUCAAGUGAUCUUCCUGCCUCAACCUCCUGAGUAGCUAGGACUACAGGUGCACACCACCAUGCCUGGCUAGACUCAGGGUAUUUAAAAUUAAAAUAAUAUUGCUAUUAUUUAUUGAGUGUUUAUGUACUAGGCUGUAGGCUAAGCAUUUAUAUACACCGUUUAACUUUAAAACCACCCUGUAAUUUUGAGGUUAUUGUUAUUCCCAUUAUAUUCCUAAGUAAACUGAGUCUUAGAGACUCAGUCUCAUUAAAUCUUGCCAGUUAGUGGAGGAGCCAGAAUUAGUUCCAUCAGAUUCCAGAGUUCCAUGCUCUCCAAACCAUGACAUGAGUCCCAGACUGCUAGACUAAAAAUGAUCUUUCAGAUCAGAGGGGACCAUUAGGUCUGGAAAAGACCUGGAAGAGCACACAGUUCAACCUUGUCAUUGCAUAGAUGAAGAAGCUGAGCUCAGAGAGGUGAUUUGGCCAAAGCAGCACAGUGAGCAAAGGAGCUGAGCGGGGAACUCAGCCUCCUGACAUCAAGGUUCCGGUGCUCAUCACCCUUCCUUCUGCUCCUGCAGGGAAAUGUGAUUGCACCACUGCACUCCAGCCUGGAGUGCUCCCGGGAAAUGAAGAGACAGGGGCCUCAGGACACUGCAGGGGAAUAAAAAGAUUUGCUGAGAUGGAAGAUGCCCAUACCUGAAAUGACCUAGAUGAGCAGGCAACAGGCCAAGAAGCAGAGAACUCUGGGGUCCAUGGCGGAGCAACCAGAAGCCAAGACGCAAAUGUUGGUAGCAGGGAAUGCAGGAGAGAGACUGUUGGGGCAUGCUCAGGGAAGUGGCCAGGGACCCCUGUCCAUGGGAGGGGAGGGGACCUAAUUUCAAAAGCAAAUCAAAGUGGUGAGUCCUGGCUUCUCAUGACUCCAAACAAAAUUCCUUUCUCUGGAUUCCCCCUGCCAAGGCGAAUGGAGCUAUUUAGAGACCUGCUCAGGAAAAAACAGUCCUGCAGCCAGGAGGAGAGGGUCCCCAAGGGCAGACAGACAGGGCUGGACGGCAGCUGGAGGGGCCAUUGAAGGUCACAGGAAGGUCAUGGGGGUGCUGAAGGACAGGAAGAUGAGAGGACAAAAUAGGUGAGUGGGGCUAGGAAGGUGGUGAGGCUUAAACUGGCCUUAAAGCCGUGGGCCGAAUCUGGCUGGUUGUCUGCUUUCGCAUAGCCUGUGAGCUAAGAAUGGUUUUAACAUUUUUAAAUAGUUGAAAAAAAAUUAAAAUUUGGUAACGUGAAAAUUGUAUGAAAUUCAGGUUUCAAUGUGUGUAAAUAAAGUUUUAUUGGAACACAGCCACACUCAUUCCUGCACGUCCCAUCUAUGGCUGUUUUUGCACUACAACAGCAGAAUGGAAGAGUUGGGGCGGAGACAGUGCGGCCCACCAAGUCUAAAAUAUUCAUUGUCUACAUUGUUACAGAAAGUGUUUGUUGGCACUUGCGCUGAAGUAUGGUAUUUCUAGAAAACAAUCUCACUUAAAUAAUACAGAAAUAAAAUUCACUCUCAGAAAAAUACAGAUAAAGUUUAAGUUCCAUUUGACCAACCCAUCAGCCCC
rnacentral:lncRNA from 1 species